rnacentral:rRNA from 1 species
AUUGAACGCUGGCGGCAUGCUUUACACAUGCAAGUCGAACGGCAGCGGGGAGGAGCUUGCUUCUCUGCCGGCGAGUGGCGAACGGGUGAGUAAUACAUCGGAACGUGUCGAGAAGAGGGGGAUAACCACCCGAAAGGGUGGCUAAUACCGCAUAAAUUCUGAGGAAGAAAGCUGGGGAGCUAGGUAUAGGGCUAGCGCUUUUUGAGCGGCCGAUGUCGGAUUAGCUAGUUGGUGAGGUAAAGGCUCACCAAGGCGAAGAUCCGUAGCGGGUCUGAGAGGAUGAUCCGCCACACUGGGACUGAGACACGGCCCAGACGCCUGCGGGAGGCAGCAGUGGGGAAUUUUGGACAAUGGGGGCAAACCUGAUCCAGCCAUGCCGCGUGUAUGAAGAAGGCCUUGGGGUUGUAAAGUACUUUUGUUAGGGAAGAACAGUCAGCUGUGAAUAAUGGCUGAUACUGACGGUACCUAAAGAAUAAGCACCGGCUAACUACGUG